GGCCGAGGGCACGUCUGCCUGGG
rnacentral:siRNA from 1 species